GUUUGAUCAUGGCUCAGAUUGAACGCUGGCGGCAGGCCUAACACAUGCAAGUCGAACGGUAACAGGAAGAAGCUUGCUUCUUUGCUGACGAGUGGCGGACGGGGGAGUAAUGUCUGGGAAACUGCCUGAUGGAGGGGGAUAACUACUGGAAACGGUAGCUAAUACCGCAUAACGUCGCAAGACCAAAGAGGGGGACCUUCGGGCCUCUUGCCAUCGGAUGUGCCCAGAUGGGAUUAGCUUGUUGGUGGGGUAACGGCUCACCAAGGCGACGAUCCCUAGCUGGUCUGAGAGGAUGACCAGCCACACUGGAACUGAGACACGGUCCAGACUCCUACGGGAGGCAGCAGUGGGGAAUAUUGCACAAUGGGCGCAAGCCUGAUGCAGCCAUGCCGCGUGUAUGAAGAAGGCCUUCGGGUUGUAAAGUACUUUCAGCGG
rnacentral:rRNA from 1 species